AGAUUUCUCUUGAAUCCGAGAUGUUAUUAUCAGCUGAUUAUAGAGGAGGAGUUUUGUCAUGGAUGGGUACCAACGUCAGUGCAUCACUUUUGACACAAAUGUUUGCAGAGGUCCAAGAGAACAAGUUACACAGAUGAAAGAUGCAGCUCCUAAGAGAUCCAAAGUCAGCAGCACCUAAGACUAUACUGACCUUGAAUUAUCAGCAUCCAAAACAAUGCAAAUCAAAUACAGGUUUUUGUCUGUACAUCUGGCAAUCUUAGGACAAUACUGGAUGGUUUUAAUUAAGAACUGAUCCAGCAUGAAGACCAGCCAUAUGCCUCACCUGUCAUGACAUUAUUAAAGGUAAGUGUCCCUAUAAGCAAAGAAUCUGACAAAGCAAAACCUUCAUCUUAAAAG